rnacentral:tRNA from 1 species
GAAGGUAUAGCUCAAGUGGUAGAAAGCAUGCUUUGCAUGCGUGAGGUCCUGGGUUCAAUCCUCAGUACCUCCU